ACUUAUUUUGUUUCACAGGGCACAGCUGUUUUUGACACAUUUAGAUGCUGCCACAGAAGUUUUUUUUGGUACAAUUUUUCCUUAUUAGAAAAGGCAAGGGGAUCUAAGCCCAUACAGGCUUGUCUCUGCCACAGAAAAUUUCUUUGUACUGGAACCAAAGUUACUGUACUUUAUGGCGUAUUAUACAGGGUCAUUAGCUGUCGCCAGUGCUGGCGCCAAAACUGACCCAGACGAUUUUGUCAAUUAGACUUUUUGGCACUGAAGUAAUACUUUUUGGUGGAAACACGAGGAGCGAAGUUGUUUGAAUUGUUUUAUUUUGUUUAUUUAGUGUUUCUUCAGGUUUUAAUGUAUAAUAACGGUGGUUUUUAAAUUUUUUAGUAUCUGUGAAAGUGCAAAAAUGUUGGAAACUGAAACAAAGCCGCUGGACGUAGCUUCUUGGGAUCUUCCAAAAAGUCUAGGUACUGAAAAAGUCUCAGACAAUGGCCACCGUUUAACUGAGAUUAUAUUUCAUCCCAUAUUAUCUCAUCUCAUUUCAUUUAAUUUCAUAUAAAUUGAUUUAUGCCAUAAAUUAAUCAACAUUUCAUUAUAAUAUCUAUCCAUAACAAUAUCAUUUUUCAUGAAAAAUAAUAGAUUAGACAGAAAAUAUUAGGCUGUAUGGCGUGGUAGUUUCGCUUUUCCACUUGAAAAAAUGUAACAACUACUGUCAUCUUUAUUUUCUAUCUGCCAAUCAGUAGGUAGAUAUGGUAUGAUUUAUCAUAAUUCACAUGUAAUUUCAGCAUUUUGAAUACCUAUAUGUACAAAUAGACAAACUACGUUAUUGAGAAUAAUGUUUUAAAUUUCGGCUGUUCAUUGUGAUGAAACCUACUUGAAGAUCAAAACAAUAUAAAACUUGAAAAUUACGCCACUAUAAGGAUGACAAAACUAAUGGAAUGGAUAUCCCUCUGUUCAGCAUUUUUCGCCGUUUGGUAUUCUCUAAUAGGAGGCUACGUUAAACAUCCAUUAAUACAAGAAAACAUGCAUCAAAUCGUCUUAUCUCCCAUAUAUUUUCUAAUACUCUUUGGUUUAUAUUCAGUGAGCGUCAUACUUUUUAGAGUUUUAACGUUUAACAAUUGUGAAGAAGCAGCAAAGGAAUUGCAGAGAGAAAUAAUAGAAGCUAAAAAAGAUUUACAUGAAAGAGGUUUGAGGUGGUGAACAUUCCAUUAAGGUUUUAAAUGUAUGUUUGUGUUUGUAUAUGUUUAAUUAAACAAAAAAUAUGGUAUUUGGUAGUUUUUUACUCGAGGUGUGUUUAAGAAGUUAACUAUGAACAUUCUCUCAUUAGCUUCUGUUAGUAUUCAAGCUGGCAAUAAUUAGUUCCAAGAACACAAGUCAUUUUUUUCUAAUGCCAUCCCAUGGUAUGUCUGUCAGAAGAGUGGAGCUCUCUUAGGUCAUUGAGUCUCUAAACUGCUGAAUUUUUUGUUGACUUUCAAUCGUCAUCUAAAACAAUAAAUAUAUAUGAAAUAAAUUAUUAUUCUUAUUCAUAUGUUAUGUCCCGAAACUUUAUCAAGAAGUAUCUUCUUGGACCAAAAAAAAUUGGGCAGCUACCUGUAGGAUGACGAUAUCAGUAAAAACCACAAAACAAAUAGUUUUAAAAAAAAUCUUGACUAUUCGCUUCAGUUCUUCGUGAGUUAUAGAUAUAAUUCAACGUACAUUUAUGGUUUAAUCUCAACUUUUUUAUUGUUUUUAAAUUAUUUUUGAAGUUUCAAAUAAAUACUUUACAGUUUUACAAUGUAAGAUCAUCAGUGAUCUCAGUAAAGUAUUUGAACUAUUAGAAAUAAUAUAAUGAUGCUACAAAAUGUGUGUUUAAGCCAUAAAAGUAGUUUUGAUUAUAAUUGUUAUGUUUUUACAUUCAGGAUGGUUUUGCAUUACUUAAAAAUAAAAUAAUUGGUAAUAAAUUUAUUCAUUUAU